rnacentral:rRNA from 1 species
UACGUAGGGUGCAAACGUUGCUCGGAAUUAUUGGGCGUAAAGCGCGCGUAGGCGGCUACUUAAGUCGGAUGUGAAAGCCCUUGGCUCAACUGAGGAAGUGCACCCGAAACUGAGUGGCUAGAGUACGAAAGAGGGUCGCGGAAUUCCCGGUGUAGAGGUGAAAUUCGUAGAUAUCGGGAGGAACACCGGUGGCGAAGGCGGCGACCUGGGUCGGUACUGACGCUGAGGCGCGAAAGCGUGGGGAGCAAACAGG